rnacentral:rRNA from 1 species
AGUGAACGCUGGCGGUAGGCCUAACACAUGCAAGUCGAACGGCAGCACAGUAAGAGCUUGCUCUUACGGGUGGCGAGUGGCGGACGGGUGAGGAAUACAUCGGAAUCUACUUUUUUGUGGGGGAUAACGUAGGGAAACUUACGCUAAUACCGCAUACGACGUACGGGUGAAAGCAGGGGUUCUUCGGGCCUUGCGCGAUUGAAUGAGCCGAUGUCGGAUUAGCUAGUUGGCGGGGUAAAGGCCCACCAAGGCGACGAUCCGUAGCUGGUCUGAGAGGAUGAUCAGCCACACUGGAACUGAGACACGGUCCAGACUCCUACGGGAGGCAGCAGUGGGGAAUAUUGGACAAUGGGCGCAAGCCUGAUCCAGCCAUACCGCGUGAGUGAAGAAGGCCUUCGGGUUGUAAAGCCCUGUUGUUGGGAAAGAAAAGCAGCAGGUUAAUACCCCGCUGUUCUGACGGUACCCAAAGAAUAAGCACCGGCUAACUUCGUG